rnacentral:rRNA from 1 species
UGCUAGUAAUCGUGGAUCAGCAUGCCACGGUGAAUACGUUCCCGGGCCUUGUACACACCGCCCGUCACACCAUGAGAGCCGGGAACACCCGAAGUCCGUAGUCUAACCUAUAUGGAGGACGCGGCCGAAGGUGGGUUUGGUAAUUGGGGUGAAGUCGUAACAAGGUAUC